UCCCUAAAAGGCACGACCCUGAUUCAUUCGCAACUCUACUACAUCCCCGCCGCAAGCUGUCGCUUUUGCUUGCCGUUGCGUUUUCUCGCCGUCGCUCUUGUUCAUCAUCGAUCCACCUCGUUGUCGGCCCAAUAAUUUCGCACGCCGUCGCACGUUCGUGCACCUCAAAGAAGGGUGCGCCGUUUCUAGAAAAAGAAGCCUUCAAGCCAUAAGAGGUGAUGGGGUAGGAAAAACAGAAGAUUUUAGUUAGUGAAGCACCUUCAUAUUGUAAGAAUCCUACCUUUUCGAUAUUGAUUAGGGUUUUAGGUUGUACGAUUUAACAAUUUUGAAUUUUUAAGAAAUUGUGACUUUUUUAUUCCGAUUUCUUUUUCUGUGGUUUUUUGGAAUUGUGUUUGUAGUGGGUGUCUCCAUUGUUUAGUGUUUUCAAUGUGCAUGUGGUUUGUGUCUCCAUUGAUAGUCCCAGUUGCAAUGCUUUAAAGAAACCCUUUAUUGAUGGUCACCACGGUUUGUUUGUCCCUUUUUUUGUCCUCACCAGGCUUAUAAAAGCUUUGUGGAGCCAGAUUUGUUUGUGUUUUUUGGCUUUUAAAGCCCUUUAUUAUUGACUUUUUAGGCAUGCCAGAUUUGUUACCCUUACCAUGGUGGGAAAUGGUCUGAAGAUGCAUAUACGGAAGGGUUUGAAGCUUGGUUUGAUUAUGUAGACAAAGACUUUAUGUCUUUUUUUUUAGUUAGAUUCGAUGGUUGAGGAGUUAGGGUAUGACGGGUCCAUUUUGUAUCACUAUAGGAUUCCUGGGAUGUCUUAUAGGGAGGGAUUAAGGCUGAUAGAACGUGACCAGAUGUGGAUAAUAUGUAAUAUGUGUAAGUAUGUUCUAGGGACUAGGGAAAUAGAAUUGUAACUAGAACAUCAAAGUGCAAAGCAAGCUACCCUUAAACAUAAUCUCUGAUGAAUCUAGAUGAGAGUGGAAUAGUAAAAAGGAAGGUAACUAUAUAAGAUAUUGAGGAAUCGAGGGUUGCAUUGUCUAUUAAAAAGGGUAGUGGGUCAAAAUUGAAAAAGUCUAGAGCAAAAUGAGGUGUUAAUGACUUACAAAAAAGGUUAUGCAUUUUGAAUGACAUAGUCUACAAUGCUAAUCACGAAGAUAAUGGAUACGAGACUGAGGAAAGACAAUGAAGUGGAAGGGUCUCUCUACAAUGCUGAUGAAUGAACUCUCAAUGGUGUUGAUGAAGUGACUUUCAAUGGUGCUGAUGAAGGUGAUAUUAAUGGUGGUGAAGAAGGGGCUGAUGAUGUUGGAACUGAAGGUAAUGCAGAGGAAGACAGUACUGAUAAUGAAUUUGUGGACGAUGAAUAUUUAUGGAAGAUGAUGAUCGUGGUGCAAUAGAUGAAAAAAGUGUAGAUACACUAAUUGGAGAAGAUCAUAGGGGUGAAAGGUUUGGUAAUGGUGGAGAUGGUGACAACUAAAAUAUUGAUGAAGUUAUUGAUGAAAGGGAUGUAAACUACGUUCCCUUUGAUGAUGGAAUAUAAGACUUAGAUGGCCUGCACAUUGUUGAUGAAUUAGGUUCUGAGGUUGAUGAAAGGGUCAUAUACCCUGAGUUCAAUGAAGAAGCUAACAUGGAUGAUCCAAAUUUUGAAAAAGGAUUGAAGUUCAGAGAUGUUUCACAAUUGAGAGAGGCACUGUGGUCACACUCCAUUUAGCACGGUGCUAUUUCAAUUAGGCUGAAAAUGAAUAAGAAGUGGAAGAUAAGUGCAAAGUGUGCAACAAACUGCAGGUGGAAAUUGUAUGCUUUUAGGAUAGGGGAUAACAAUUCUAAUUGUUAAACUCGAUAACCAUGGAUAACCACCCAAAUAGAUUGGAUUUGGGUAUGAAAAUUUGGGUAUAUUUUGAAUAUGAAGAAAAACCGUGAAUAUUAUUCA